rnacentral:rRNA from 1 species
UGGGAUAACUCCGGGAAACCGGGGCUAAUACCGGAUGCUUGAUUGAACCGCAUGGUUCAAUUAUAAAAGGUGGCUUUUAGCUACCACUUACAGAUGGACCCGCGGCGCAUUAGCUAGUUGGUGAGGUAACGGCUCACCAAGGCAACGAUGCGUAGCCGACCUGAGAGGGUGAUCGGCCACACUGGGACUGAGACACGGCCCAGACUCCUACGGGAGGCAGCAGUAGGGAAUCUUCCGCAAUGGACGAAAGUCUGACGGAGCAACGCCGCGUGAGUGAUGAAGGUUUUCGGAUCGUAAAACUCUGUUGUUAGGGAAGAACAAGUACCGUUCGAAUAGGGCGGUACCUUGACGGUACCUAACCAGAAAGCCACGGCUAACUACGUGCCAGCAGCCGCGGUAAUACGUAGGUGGCAAGCGUUGUCCGGAAUUAUUGGGCGUAAAGCGCGCGCAGGCGGUUUCUUAAGUCUGAUGUGAAAGCCCCCGGCUCAACCGGGGAGGGUCAUUGGAAACUGGGGAACUUGAGUGCAGAAGAGGAGAGUGGAAUUCCACGUGUAGCGGUGAAAUGCGUAGAGAUGUGGAGGAACACCAGUGGCGAAGGCGACUCUCUGGUCUGUAACUGACGCUGAGGCGCGAAAGCGUGAGGGAGCGAACAGGAUUAGAUACCCUGGUAGUCCACGCCGUAAACGAUGAGUGCUAAGUGUUAGAGGGUUUCGCCCUUUAGUGCUGCAGCAAACGCAUUAAGCACUCCGCCUGGGGAGUACGGUCGCAAGACUGAAACUCAAAGGAAUUGACGGGGGCCCGCACAACGCGUGGGAGCAUGUGGAUUAAAUUCGAAGCAACGCGAAGACCUUACCACGUUCUUGACCAUCUCUGACAUCCUUAUAGAAUAGGCUUCCCCUUCGGGGGAGAGUGACAGGUGGUGCAUGGAUCGUC